CGCCCAGACUCCUACGGGAGGCAGCAGUGGGGAAUAUUGCACAAUGGGGGAAACCCUGAUGCAGCAACGCCGCGUGGGUGAAGGAGCGUUUCGGCGCGUAAAGCCCUGUCAGCGGGGAAGAAGAAAGACGGUACCCGACCAAGAAGCCCCGGCUAACUACGUGCCAGCAGCCGCGGUAAUACGUAGGGGGCAAGCGUUAUCCGGAUUUACUGGGUGUAAAGGGAGCGUAGACGGCGAAGAAAGUCUGAAGUGAAAGCCCGCGGCUCAACCGCGGAAUGGCUUUGGAAACUUUUUUGCUGGAGUACCGGAGAGGUAAGCGGAAUUCCUAGUGUAGCGGUGAAAUGCGUAGAUAUUAGGAGGAACACCAGUGGCGAAGGCGGCUUACUGGACGGUAACUGACGUUGAGGCUCGAAAGCGUGGGGAGCAAACAGGAUUAGAUACCCGAGUAC
rnacentral:rRNA from 1 species